rnacentral:lncRNA from 1 species
CAGGAGGCUUUCGCCAAAAUGGGAAUCUUUCCCAAGCAGCUCAAAGCAGUAAAAACUCCCCUACAAGGAUUUGGUAGUGGAAUCAUUAUCCCUGAAGGCAUCGUCGAGCUCCCGCUUACGUUAGGAGCUGGUAGUACACAAGUGACGUAGAUCACACCAUUCCAAGUGGUUAACACCCCAAUGGCCUACAACAUCAUUCUGGGAAGACCCCUACUAAACAAGAUCCAGGCUAUUGUGUCAACUUUCCACCUCGCCAUGAAGCUCCCCACAGGUCAUGGCAUCGGAGUAGUUCGAAGGGACCAAACAGCGGCUAGACAGUGCUAUGUUACAAGCAUCCGAGGCAUGAGUGCUGACGUAAUGCAACUCAUAGACCUCGAGCUCGAGCUCAAGCCAAGGGGUAGAUUGGCCCCCGUUGAGGAAUUGGAAGUGGUCGAGCUCAAGCACGGAAAAGCCGUUACUAUUGGUCGGGAUCUGAAGGCCAACCUCCGAGAGGAAGUCAUCAGUUGUCUAUCCUGCAACAUUGAUGUUUUUGCAUGGAAGGUGGGAGAUAUGCUAGGGAUAGACCCAGAAAUACCUGUCCGUAAAAUUAAUAUCAGCCCAAGGGCCAAACCUGUUAAGCAAAGGAAGAGACAAUUUGUGCUGGAAAGACGUGUGGUCAUUCAGGAAGAAGUCGGCAAAUUGUUGGGAGCGGGGUUCAUAAGGGAAGUCCAAUACCCCGAUUGGCUCGCUAAUGUUGCUCUGGUGAAAAAGCCCAGCGAUAAGUGGAGGGUCUGCAUUGACUUUACAGAUCUGAAUAAGGCAUGCCCAAAGGACAGCUACCCGCUACCUAGGAUCAAUAAUCUUGUGGAUAGCACAUCCGGACAUAAGUUGUACAGCUUCUUAGAUGCAUUCUCAGGGUAUCAUCAAAUCCUCAUGGCCAAAGAAGACCAAGAGAAGACUUCAUUCAUGGCCGAUUCAGCCAUAUAUUGCUAUAGGGUGAUGCCAUUUGGGUUGAAAAAUGCUGGGGCAACAUAUCAGAGGCUCAUCAACAAAGUCUUCGUCGAUUUGAUAGGGAAGAAUAUCGAGGCCUAUGUGGAUGACAUGGUUGUAAAAAGUAAGAAGGUGGAGGAACAUAUAUCCGACCUUGAGGAGGUGUUAGC